rnacentral:lncRNA from 10 species
CGUGACGGUGCGCGGAGGCGGUGGUGGAGUUGCUUCCCCUGCUAGGCGGGCUCGAACCGGGCGGGAGUCACUGUCCACCUUGCUUCGCCAGGGUGUUAUCGCCAGCCAGUCCCCUUCCGCAUGCCCAAGGGCAGCCUCAGGAAGCGAGCCCACCACCGUCGGCCCAGCGCCUGUUGAUCGGCCAGGCCUUCUGGGCCGGUCAUACUGGGCCCUUCCUAACCUGAGGAGAUUGCACAGUAGGGCUCCCUGGUCUGGUCAGGGCUCAGUUAGGACCCCUCUCCAGCCUUAGGCUUGGUGAAAGCUUUAGCGAAACAGAAAAAAGAACGCAUCGUGGUGUAGAGUGUAUGGCCUAAGAAGCAUUCGCUCCACUCAAAAAAAAGAAAGUCCUAAUGCAAGUAAUUGAAAGUGAAGAUAUUGCAAAACAAAUAAUGACAGCUGAAUUGAUGAUAUGAUGACAGGCUCAUCCCUCCAUUGUAAACUAUGCUGCGUAAGAUAUGCCUGCUUCCUGUUUGCCUUAUGCCAUGAUUGUAAGUUUCCUGAGGCCUCCCCAGCCAUGCUUCUAUACAGCCUGUGGAACCAUGGGUCGAUUAAACCUCUUUUCAUUACAAAUUACCCAGUCUCAAGUAGUUCUUUAUAGCAAUGCAAAAACGGACAAAUACA